UGAGACAUGAGGGGGUUUUGGAGGCGGGUGUCCCCCACACUCUUGGCCCUAAAUUAUAAUUACAUAUUUUUGCUACAGCUGUCAUAGCUUUCGACUGAGUACCAUAUUGUCACAAUCGGCCAAUAUUUUUUUGAGAUUUAGGGGAUAGAGCCUAACUUCACAAUUGAGGCCACAUUUUUAUAUCACACUAGGACCACGCUUUGAUUUGAGACCAACAUUACCCCAAUCAUCCUAGUGUACUUUUUGGAAUUUUUUUUCCUGGGUUGGGGCCAAAUUUUAUAUCAGAUUCGUAAUAUACAGCCGAAAUCGGCCAAUAUUUUUUUGAGAUUUAGGGGAUAGGGCCUAACUUCACAAUUGAGGCCACAUUUUUGUAUCAAACGAGGACCUUUCUUUCAUUUGAGACCCAUAUUAUCCCAAUUAUCCUAAUGUACUUUUUUGGGAUAUUUUUUGUGUGUUGGGUAGUGUUGGCCGACCUGACGAAACCGCGCAUAACUGUUGUUGUAGCAAAGUCUUCAGGUGGAGGUGGCGGUCCUCGUCAAGCACCUGCAGGUGAGCCAAAGGACCGAUCACCGCGGGAACAAGGUGGCCAUUGGUUAUUUAAAGGCGCCAAUAACUUGCCUUGUCAUAUCGAGCGUCAUAGGCACUCAGUAUUUGUGCAAGGUGGUGCAAGCCGGUGCCGCCCGGCAUUUCACUGAAACUCUCCACUCGAUACCGCUGAAUGUCCGUGACUGCCGUUGCAGCUGCUCAGUAUGGGGCCGGUAGCUAGCAGCUUAGUUUCUCGUGACAGCAAUGGAACUCAGACCCGUGCCGGGUCCGCAUAACUGUAAUACGCUUAAGUAAAAAAUCCCGCUUAAGUGGAAAUUCGUCUUAAGUGAAAAAUCCCGCUUAAGUGAAACUUGAUGAAAAUAACCAUUCAUUUUUGGUGUUAUUCUAUGCAUUCGCUUAACUGAAAAUAUCGCUAAAUUGAAAAUGUUUUUAAGUCCCAAAUUCCGUUUUUAUAUGAAACUGAAACGCACAAGUGAAAAAGUUAUUUCUAUGGGAGUCAAUGUGAAAUUGGAAAAAAUCGCCUCAUCAAUACAAUUCGCAACAACAUAUUUCAACACUUCAACACUUGUCUUUGGCUUUUAAAGGGCAACGGAAUUUCACUUAUCUGAACUACGCUUAACGGAAAAUAGCGAAUAAGUGAGGAUAAUUUUAAGCAUUUUACUUAUCCGGUUUCGACCGUCUCCCAAAUACCUUUCACUUGACACUAAAAUCGACCUGAUAGAGGUAAUGAUACGAAAUAUAUAGUUUUCAAAAAUUGCGGUAAAAAGGAGGAUGUUAUAUAAAAAACAUUUUUCCAAAUUUACAGAGCUAUACUAUACAAAAUUACCCAGCUAUACUGAUGUGGAAAAUAUUUUAAAAUGUCACAUGGGGUUAGCACAAUAGAUUUCUUCAAAUUUUAUCGAGAUUGGGGAAAAAUAAGAUCUUCAAUAUUUAGAGAUUUAUUUUGAAAAAAUAGAGACUCAAGAAGCCAUACAGAGGUUUCGUUUUAUUUUGAGACUAUAUCCAUUCAUUGACUUAAUCUGUGUGGGAUUUUGGUACUCCUGCGAAACUACCGCUGAAUAAUUUCUUCAGGCGUUUAGCGUCAUAGGCGAACAUGUGGCCUUUUACUUUGUUGUACUCACUUCACAAACGAGCUUUCGACAAAACUUCGUUAUAUGUGCGGCCUUUGAAGCCUCCACUUAGGAGGCAUUAGGUGAUUAAUCAAGUCCCCACCUAGGACAAAACGCGUCUCACUAUGGUUGGAGUGUGGUAAGCUAUGGCUUUCCUUUUCCAUUGCAAAAAAUCUUCAACCAUUAAGCACGUCUCGGAGGAGACAAACAAAUAUUGGAUAAAAUGAUGUUCUCCCUAAGAUGCAGAAAAAAUUGAAGUCUUCAUGAUUUCAUAAGCUCGCUCACUCGUUCGAUUGCGCCUAGCCAUUUAGAACAAUAGAACGCAUAAUUUUAGCAUUAAAAUCCUAAUUUCUUGAGUUUUACAACUGUCCUCCCCCUCCAACGCUUUGCUAAUGUAAAUGCUACAAUUUUUCUAAAUUGAAAAGUUGUUAUUGUUUUGAAUUUUAUAUAUUCUAAAUCGUAUAUAUGUAUGUAUGUAUGGCUAUGUAGUUUAGUGUAUUUGUUAUGUUUUCAAGUAUGUAAUAUUGAUUAAAUUAUAAAAAUCACAUUUACAUAAACUAUGAGUAAAAAUGUUGUUUGUUUUAGUAUUAGAAUGUGCCUUCAUUUAGUAAAGUUUAUGUAUCCGAAGUACAUGUGAACUCCACUUACUGCAUACUCGUAUUUGAAACCGCAUCUACCUUUAGUUCGAGCACUAUAAGACUCUUAAUUAAAUCAUUAAAAAUUUCAAUCGGGAAUACCUCACCUUGAAAUCUGUUAAUAUGAUAUUCAAAUAAUAAAUCUGAACUAUGUUAUAGAAACAUUCUCGAAAAUUUUAUAAGAGGAAGUAAAUAAAGUCUAGUUAUGUGUGUUAAAAAUUAAAA